CUAGUUCCUUCGAUAUCAGUGUAAUCUAAUAAUCAUGAUAUUUGCUGUAUAACAACACAGCAAAUAUUAUGAUUAUUAGUUUACACUGAUAUCGAAGGAACUA
rnacentral:miRNA from 1 species